rnacentral:rRNA from 1 species
CAGUCGCCACGGGAAUACGUAGGUGGCAAGCGUUGCCCGGAUUUAUUGGGCGUAAAGCGAGCGCAGGCGGUUCCUUAAGUCUGAUGUGAAAGCCCCCGGCUCAACCGGGGAGGGUCAUUGGAAACUGGGGAACUUGAGUGCAGAAGAGGAGAGUGGAAUUCCAUGUGUAGCGGUGAAAUGCGUAGAUAUAUGGAGGAACACCAGUGGCGAAGGCGACUCUCUGGUCUGUAACUGACGCUGAGGCUCGAAAGCGUGGGUAGCAAACAGGAUUAGAUACCCGCGUAGUCCCUGUCUCUUAUAC